AGGAAUGAUCCUAUAUUUUACAGU
rnacentral:siRNA from 1 species